GUCCCUUAUCUUGUGCUUACAAUUUUGCCAGAGAAAAGAGAAAUUAAACAAAAAAAAUUAAUUUCACGUAUUAAAAUCUGUAAAGUCGGAACCUCCGUUUUCUUGAACAUCCUACUGACUGUUUCCAAAGACUUGGGGCUAUCAAACAUUUUCAGUGACAUAAAAACCUAUCCAAAAUAAAGAAGUAAAUUACCCUUAAACAAUUAGAGUAUUGUAAAAAAAAAGGCUCAACAUUUUCUGUUGAAAGCUCUGCUGUCUAGUCUGUGAUGUCAACUUCAAUGUAUAGAUACUUCAAUUUAAUCGAAUUGUCCAUGUUUUGUAAAGCCUAUGAAGUAUUUUUAUCAUAAACGUCCUUAUGAUUUACCAAUUGGGAGGCCAAACAUAACCCAACCAGUCCUUAUCCGUUCUAUUUAUCACAGGCGACCAUAUCUCAUCCUUGUCUUCAUACUCAACAGGUGGGAAAUCCCAACACAUUCGUACACCAAUUACUCUUUUUCCAUAAAACUCUCUCCUUUUCUCAUCCAGAUUGGGAGUAUUCGUCUUAUAAGUAGGAGUCAUAAUGCAAGGAGCGCGUUGACUUUCUUCAAAUAAUUUGGGAUAUAACAAUACACCGGCUUCAUAGGACCGAAUCCUGAGUCCUCUUGUUGAUCUUGAUUUUGCCUUGUGACCUUCUAAAGUUCCCCAAGCGGGUUUACUCAAAUUAGCACUAGUAACAAGCACCCAACGUAGUAGUUCUCCAUCAUUCGAAAAUCGCAUGUACGUUUUAAUAUGUGGUGCAACUCUUUGUCUACCAGCUUUCAUGGCCACCCAUUUGCAUAAAUUCUUACCUUUUUUUAAAGUUUCCACUUGGCUUGCAGCUGUUUUCCCCAAGAUGUUGAAAUGAAUAGAGGAACCAGAUUGCCAACCUAACAUAGAUUGCUGAACUUCUUUCACUGUUGGAAAUAAAAAUUUCCAAUUCCCUCGUUGGCAACCAAAACCAUCCGUUAAUUCGGCAAUGUACUCCUGUUUGGGUCCAAAUGAACCCAUGGAACUACACUGAGAAAUACAAAUGUCAGACUCUUCGAAUUUAGUUUUCUCGUCCUUCUUUGAAUCUUUUUCCAACAUCUUUAGAAUCUUUUUUAACUUUCCUAAUCCCCAAGAGCUUUCUUCCUCGCCUUCGAAUUUUCCAGGUACUGAUCCAAUAAAUAUUGCUCUGAUUGCUGAAAAGUCAUACAUUUUCAGUUUCUCAAUAAGCUCAUAUGUGUGCCUAUAAUUCUUCAAAUAGGCCAAGAAAUCUUGUUGAAAUUGUCGACCGAUUACACCCAAAUCAUCGCUACUCCUUGUAUCGGACUUAUGUUUAAAAUUCUCAAAAGCGGAAUCUACAUCAAUAAUAUCACAGUUUCGAUCAUCUUUGAUGUCAAGGCUUCCCUCAUGCUUCCUUAUCUUGGAUGGAUUACCGUAUUCAGGAACACUAGAAGUUGAAAGGGAAUCGUUCGCUUUAGGAUAUAGUAGAGGGGUUUUGAAGAUGGCUUGAGACAUGCCAAUCCAAUCUGGUUCAACUAAAUUGGCUGUGUGUAUUACAAUUUGGCAUGAAUCAUCUUUGAAAAAAUUCACCAUAAUCUUAGAAUGGUGCGUGCCCCACAUUGGAACGUAAACACUGUACAGUUUGACAUUAACAGGGCAAUGGUUCAUCUGGGCAGUUAGUCUUGCUAAACUAUCAGACUUGGAGUCAUAUCCAUGAGUAAUACGGACAUCGACAGUAGGGAAGACACUAGCAUGCAUGUUUUCCAACAAAAAAUUAAGGUCGACACAGAAAUUAAAUUGCCAAGUCUGCUUUAAUUGAGGGCUUCCAAUGAGCUGUUUUAAAAGAAGACAAUGAACGUUUUCGCUUUCCGGUAAUGCAGAAAUUUUAUUUAAGAAAAUAGGAGAGUCAAUUAUUUCAUUCGAUUU